GGGCGGGUAGCUCAGUUGGUUAGAGCGCUUCCCUUACACGGAAGAAGUCGUAGGUUCGAGUCCUAUUCCGCCCA
rnacentral:tRNA from 1 species